rnacentral:rRNA from 1 species
AUUGAACGCUGGCGGCAGGCCUAACACAUGCAAGUCGAACGAGUGGCGGACGGGUGAGUAAUGUCUGGGAAACUGCCUGAUGGAGGGGGAUAACUACUGGAAACGGUAGCUAAUACCGCAUACCAUCGGAUGUGCCCAGAUGGGAUGAGCUAGUAGGUGGGGUAAAGGCUAACCUAGGCGACGAUCCCUAGCUGGUCUGAGAGGAUGACCAGCAACAGUGGACCGGCGCAACGCCCCGGACUCCUACGGAAGGCAGCAGUGGGAAAUAUUGCACAAGGGGCGCAAGCCUGAUGCGGCCAUGCGCCGUGUAUGAAGAAGGCCUUCGGGUUGUAAAGUUCUUUCGGUAGCGAGGCGUUAACUACAGAAGAAGCACCGGCUAACUCCGUGCCAGCAGCCGCGGUAAUAC